UGUCAGAGGAAACAACAGCUGCUAUACCGCCACGUCCGCCUUUGUGUUGUUAGAUGCUUUGGGUCAGAUACAAAUAAGUGAUGAGUUGCGUAAAGUGAUAUUCUUUGGCGGUAUUGAUCCCAGUCUCAGGCGAGUGGUGUGGAAACACAUUCUCAACGUAUAUCCAAGUGCAACGUAUGAAUUACAUGCGUCGCAAGUCUGAAUAUUACUAUAAACUGCGAGACACUUGGAAAGCAGGCGUUAAAAACGGUUGUAUGGCUAUUGGCGAAUUAGCUUAUGUAACUAGUAUGGUCAAAAAGGAUGUUUUAAGAACCGAUCAUUUGCAUCCAUUCUACGCCGGCAACGACGACAACCAGAACAUUGCAUCGCUUUUCAAUAUACUUACUACAUAUGCGCUUAAUCAUCCUUCAGUAAGCUAUUGUCAGGGCAUGUCUGAUAUCGCCUCACCUUUAUUAGUCACCAUGAAUGAUGAAGCACAAGCUUACAUUUGCUUUUGCGCGAUAAUGAGUCGUGUGAAGGGUAAUUUUAUGUUGAAUGGAAUCGCAAUGACGCAGAAAUUUGCUCAUCUAACUGAAGCAUUGAGUUACUAUGACAAGGAAUUUUGGGAAUACCUCAAAUCGCUCACGGCAUUCGGAAUAGCGCACUACAUCCCUGAGCAGCUGAAUUUCCGUCACUGCUUGCGUGACAUGACGGAAGAGAAGGACAAUUUUUGCGAAGAGGUGAUGGGUCGGAAAGUAGCAAAGGACCCCGUAAAUAACUUGACGCUUACCAGCAAGUAUCUUAAGCCGGCGUUCCCGAAAGUCGACGGGGCGUUCGACCAAGCCUAUGAUGUGUUUUACUCAGCAAUGGACCAGCACGUGGUGCGGGAUGAUGCACCGAAUUAAGUUACUGGGAUUCAUACUGUUUACGCUGCUAACAGGCAAAAACAUCAGGGGGUCAAUUGAUCGGAACGCGUCUGCAUUCUAAGUUUGGAUUAAAAAGUUCCAUCCACACACUUACAUUUAUGGAAAAUCGUGCGAGAAAAGCAGCAAAAUUUAAACAGCGCCGCCGUCCACCGCCUCAUAUAGAUGAAGGUUCACUGCAUGCCAAAGAUUAAAAAAAAAAAAACAUACGCACUAUCGCUUCAGCAGAAUGCCAAAGGAUAUCAACAACCGUUCAACACAGCACCACUGUCAAGCAGCAUACUGCCGUAUAUUUAUUUAAUAAUCUUAUCUUAUCUAUAUUAUUUGCAUUUAUAUUAUGUAUUUAUAUUAUAUUAAUAAGCGGGGAUUUAUUUGUUAUUGUAAAUAUUAUUAUAGUUUUAAGUUUACAAUGGUGUAAGCCUAAAGGGGAGCCAGCUAUUUAAAACAAUUGGCAACGCGCCUAUCACGGCACCUCAAGGGUGGUGUGGAAAACCGUGUCAGGAAGCCGUGCUGACCAUCUAGCAGCUGGCAGUGUGAAUGUCACAAAUGAAAUUCAAACUUUAUGAGCGGCAACACCCCAAGAACAUCGUUACUGCCCACUAUGCGCCAACAACAACGUACUUUUUGCAUACGACGCCCUUGCGUACAUUAUCAACUAGAACUUGUUACUCUGUCCGAUAUGCUCAUCAUUACACAUUGUUCCUUCUAAUUUAUUUCCAUCGAAGACUUCUGCUUUAGGCAUCUAUCAGAUUUUUGCAACUGCACCGACAGAUUGUGCUUAUUACCAAAUUACGUUAAACUAAAAGACGUGGAUUAGAUAGCAUAUAUUUUUAUUUUAUUUUUUUAUUUAUUUAUUUUUUUUUGAAUACAAACAAAAUUUUAUAAAUA